UGACUCACACAGCCAAGGACAGAGCUGAGCUCUUAGAGUUCAGAUGAAGAGAGUGAGGAGGGAUCAUAUGAACAAGGGGGGGGGUCAAGAUCAUGAUUGGGAAAACCACAGGGACAGAUGACUCCAGCUAGUGGGAGCUCACAGACUCUGGACUGAUAGCUGGGGAACCUGCAUGGGACUAAACUAGACCCUCUGAAUGAAAGGUGGACUUCUUAACUCAUCUCAGGCCCAAGGUAUCUUUCAACAAGAAGGCAUCAGGAGAUGACACUACAAGAAGAAGCAAGAUGACCGUCAGAGCCCUGUCUCUGUAUUUCUGUACAGACCAUGAAGUUUCCUGCAGCUUUAGAAAUCCAAGGGAUCUGCUACUCAUGAUGCAAAGAGAAAACAGUUCUUCCAUUUUCCUCACUCCAUUAGCCUUAUAUAUUUGCUCUGCUUUUCCAGACCCUUCUAAAAAGAAAAAUGAAAAGAAAAAAGAAAGAAGACCUUUGCUUCUGCAUCUACCCCAAACGUGUUUGACAGAUCGUUCUUGGGUUUAGGUAGCUACUUCCUCAGGUUAAUCACACAAUUCCACUCCUACACAACCCAGUCUUUCCUGAGUCUUGUGAUUUCACACCCUUACUCAGCUUAGUCAUGGAAUUACAAUCACAUUAAAUUACCUCCACUUAAGAGGCUUCCUAUGCACACACAUGCACUCAUGUUUCAGCAUUGAGCAGAAACUAUUAUUUAAGCAUAAUGCAUUUAUCCAGAGCCCAGAGUCCAUGUCAAUAUUUCUGAUGAUGUAACUUGACAGCACUCUGUGUGACAAUAACAGUAAAAUCUGAUUUAGCAGCAAGACUCAAGAACCUGGCAUCUCUGCAUUUAGUUUAAUUGUUACCCAACUCAUGAUGAACUUAAAAUGUCCUUUGGUUUCCAACUCUUGGUUUUCCUGCUUUAGUAAGCCCCAUGAAUUAACUUGCUAAGGGUUUUGCAAUAACAGUUUUCUGUCUUGGGUUCGUAAUUAGAAUCAUUAGUUGUCACUGGAAAGGCCUCCAGAACUGGAGAUCAUAAGAUCAACUUUCUUGGUAUAGCUGUUGAAUAAACCCUGAUCCUCUUCCUUACAGGCAUUUAUUCACACUGCAUUUCUCAGCUGCCCUUGAAGUAAUACUCCUGGAUACCACACUCCUCUCCUGGUGACCAUUGUUGAUGUGUCUUUACUGUGACUGUAAGCAAAGUGACUAAAAUUUAGCAGUUGCCAAAAGAAAACUUCCCAGCAGGCCAACCACUGAACCUAGGAUAUUGCAUAUACUUAGCUCUCGCUCUUCCUGUGGAUGCAGAUGGAAAAUACUCAGCUACCUCACCAGAACCAUGUCUACCUGCAUGCCACCAUGUUUCCUCACAACGAUAAUGAACUAAACCUCUGAAACUGGGUUGUGGUGAACCUAACCACAAAAUGACUGAUAUUUUCAACAAUCUGGCAAAAAGAUAAUUGUUCACUUAACUUCAGGACGUGGUGGAUUUUUUUCAGCUAAACAAUAAAGAGAUCACAAUGACCCUAACCAUAGUAAUGAGCUAGAUAUUUUCCAAGUCCUGAGAUAAUAGAUGGCGAUGUUCCUAAAAAUGGGAUGACUGUGAGGAUGAAUCCCUUCAAGAUAGCAUCAUCAUCCAUAAAGGAUUAUUGUUAAGUCUUUACUAAUAACCCAGUAAAUGGUGAAGUAUAUAUUGCAGCACAAACCAUGUGAUCUUAGAUAUCAAGGUUAAGAACUGAUGCAGAGACCUUUGGGAUGACAUGUGACCUCGUAUUUUCAUGAUGUUUAUUUGUAACACAGGAAAGAACACCACAAUGAGACAGACAGUGUUGUCAAAAUGAACAUAUCUAGUAUCCAGGUGUCUUUCCUUGACAAAACUUCACAAUGCCUCAAAGUGAUCUUCAAGAGUGUGGUUUCUCACAGUAAGUAAAUGAUUGAGAAUCACUGCACAGGGCACUGGUUGUCAUCGGCACAGGUAAGUGAUCAGUGUCCCUUAGCCCUGCUUUUCUUUACAGCAUAUGUGUCCUGAAGAUGUGUGGAUAAGAAGUCAUAGAGUCUUGGCAAAUUUCAUGAUCAUGAUUUCAUAUAAUAUGUUCAUGACCUUCAUGUUGAACUUGUGACUGCUAAGGGAUUGAUUGUGUCAGAGCUUACUGUCAUUUUCAUUGACUUGUCAGCCUAAGUUAAGCACCAGUUUUAUAGUCUCCAGAUCAAAAAAGUAUGGUCACUUCUGAAUUGUGGUCCAAUUAUGAGUCAUUCAAGUAUCUAAAUGCAGUUGAAUGGUCCCUCAAUUAUAGUUGUGGGCAAAGGAAUGUGAAUGAGUCCUUAUAAUGUAAAGUGGAUCCAGAUACAUAUUUUUCCAAUUUUAAAAUUGAAAAAUAUCUCAAAGUGAGCUAAAGGAGGUUAUUAAGUGGGUCACUGAUGUUUCAAGGUAAGUGCUGAAGAUGACCUCUUUACAAAGCAGGAUAUCAGAUACUCCUGUUCCUGAAAAAUUGUUGAUGAUGUCACCAGUGCUUUUCAUUACCACACAUUUGUGAUGGGUAUGCAAAUAUAAAUGAUUUGGGUCCUUAGAAACCUAGCGAAGAGUUUACAUGACUUACACAGGAGAAAAUGCAUGUUAAAUCUCUAUAAAUUGAUACAUUGAUUAUUUCUUGGUUCUUUGUCAUAGAUCUUGACUUUGAGGCAAGUUGUAAGCCUUGAAUAUUUUGCAGGUUGAAGAAGGGGUGGUCUUUCCUCAAAAUUACAUGUACCGUUUCUUCAUACUGGUCUCAAACUCGAGGAGAUCUGCCUGCCUCUGCCUCCCAGGAGCUGGGUUUAAGAGACAGGUCACAACCUCAUGGUACCUCACAAAGAUCUGCAAGAAUACUACUUCUCGAUAUAUGCAAAAGUGCCUCUAUGAUCCUGAAUCAGUCUACAAACCACCUCAUGAUCACCCACAGUAAGGUAACCGAGAUCCAGAAAGAUAAAUAUGAAGAUGAGAACAAUACAGAGACCCAUGGCCAGACAUCAUGCAGAGAGACCUUGAAACACACAGUUCUAAAUGGAAUGUCUCCAUCAAAUCUCACUCCUCAGAGCUCAGGGAACCCUGUAGAAGAUGAGGCAGAAAGAGUAUAAGAACCAGAGCAGAUGGAGGACACCAGGAGAACAAGGCCCUCUGGAUAACUGAGCACGGCUCAUAUGAACUCAGAGACUGAAUAAGCAAGCACAGGGCAUACACAGGUCUGUGCUAGGUCCUC